UACGUAGGGGGCGAGCGUUGUCCGGAAUUACUGGGCGUAAAGCGUGCGCAGGCGGUUUUGUAAGUUUGGCGUGAAAUCCCCGGGCUCAACCUGGGAAUGGCGAUGAAGACUGCAAGGCUAGAGUUUGGCAGAGGGGGGUAGAAUUCCACGUGUAGCAGUGAAAUGCGUAGAUAUGUGGAGGAACACCGAUGGCGAAGGCAGCCCCCUGGGUCAAAACUGACGCUCAUGCACGAAAGCGUGGGGAGCAAACAGG
rnacentral:rRNA from 1 species